UACGAAGGUGGCAAGCGUUACUCGGAAUUACUGGGCGUAAAGCGUGCGCAGGCGGUUCUCCAAGUCCGUUGUGAAAGCCCCGGGCUCAACCUGGGAAUGGCAGUGGAAACUAGGGGACUGGAAUCUGGCAGAGGGGGGUGGAAUGCCGCGUGUAGCAGUGAAAUGCGUAGAGAUGCGGCGGAACACCGAUGGCGAAGGCAGCCCCCUGGGCUGAGAUUGACGCUCAGGCACGAAAGCGUGGGGAGCAAACAGG
rnacentral:rRNA from 1 species